AGCCUCUCCAUCGAAUCGGUUCCGCUCCGACGGCCUGCGGGCCGACGCGGAUAAAGGGCUCCGUAUUUACGGCGGCGGCGGGAGGAUUGGGAGGUUUCCGAUCCAGAUCCCAUUUGUGUGAAGCUAUUAGCGCCGAGCAGCGCUGAGCUCCGCCUGAUACGCCUCUGAGAUUAUGAAAUGGUAUUACAGUAAGAGGAUCGGCCGCCUGGAGGUGAGGAACACACACCGAGGCUGACGGGACCGGGAACCACGCAGCAGCAGAAACGAUCCAAGAAGGAAUAGAAAUAAAAAAUGAUCAGGAACGUGACGUCACACAGGAAGCAGCGUUUCAGUUGGUCCUGCUUCCUGUAUUUCCUGCCUCAGCUGUUUGGUGUUGCUAAUCAGACGGAGUUCGGGCUGUUCGGAUGUUUUCCUGGUUUGGCUCCUGCAGCGUGCGUUCAGCAGCAGGAUGAGACCUGCUGACCUCAGAGCAGCGCCGCCGGGUUUCAGAGUCACUCUGAUGAAACGUGGCGUCACGUUGGGUGACUUCCUCCAAAACUCCAACAACAAACACGCCGUCCUGUGAAGCUUCACCUCCAGGUUCCGACGUUUCAUCAAGGAGUUUGGAUUCCAGAGGAAACAGAAACAGACUGAACUAGAAAAACAGGAGAAGAUGAUUUGGAUUUCACUUUUUCACAGGCAGAAAGGUCAAAGUGCGACACAGCAGCUAAAAAACUCUGAGUCGAACAAGAGCGACGAGUUGAACUGGAGAAAACUACUCAUUAUUUUUAAAUAUUUGGUUUUAUUUUAGAGAAAACUCAAAGUUCCCAUCCUGGUACGGGAACUUUAAAUUACUCUAAUUGUAAUUUCUAAAGAGGUAGAAAUUAAUCUGUUAAUCUAGAUUAAUUAACUAUUUAUUACAAGCUGC